UACGUAGGGGGCAAGCGUUGUCCGGAAUUAUUGGGCGUAAAGAGCUCGUAGGCGGUGUGUCGCGUCGGCCGUGAAAACCUGCAGCUUAACUGUGGGCGUGCGGUCGAUACGGGCAUCACUGGAGUUCGGCAGGGGAGACUGGAAUUCCUGGUGUAGCGGUGAAAUGCGCAGAUAUCAGGAGGAACACCGAUGGCGAAGGCAGGUCUCUGGGCAUUAACUGACGCUGGAGGAGCGGAAAGCAUGGGGAGCGAACAGG
rnacentral:rRNA from 1 species